AGCAGCCGCGGUAAUCCCAGCUCCAAUAGCGUAUAUUAAAGUUGUUGCAGUUAAAAAGCUCGUAGUUGAAUUUCGGGGUCAGUAGGUUGGUCAUGCCACUGGUAUGUACUGGUCUCACUGAUUCCUCCUUCCUGAUGAACUGUAAUGCCAUUAAUUUGGUGUUGCAGGGAAUCUAGGACUGUUACUUUGAAAAAAUUAGAGUGUUUAAAGCAGGCUAACGCCUGAAUACAUUAGCAUGGAAUAAUGAAAUAGGACGUUCGAUCCUAUUUUGUUGGUUUCUAGGAUUGACGUAAUGAUUAAUAGGGAUAGUUGGGGGCAUUAGUAUUCAAUUGUCAGAGGUGAAAUUCUUGGAUUUAUUGAAGACUAACUACUGCGAAAGCAAUUUGCCUAAGGAUGUUUUCAUUAAUCAAGAACGAAAGUUAGGGGAUCGAAGACGAUCAGAUACCGUCGUAGUCUUAACCAUAAACUAUGCCGACUAGGGAUCGGAUGAUGUAAUUUUAAUGA
rnacentral:rRNA from 1 species